rnacentral:rRNA from 1 species
GUGUCAGCAGCCGCGGUAAUACGGAGGAUCCGAGCGUUAUCCGGAUUUAUUGGGUUUAAAGGGUGCGCAGGCGGAAUAUUAAGUCGGCGGUGAAAGUUUGCAGCUUAACUGUAAAAUUGCCGUUGAUACUGGUAUUCUUGAGUGUAUACGAAGUAGGCGGAAUUUGUGGUGUAGCGGUGAAAUGCAUAGAUAUUACAAGGAACUCCGAUUGCGAAGGCAGCUUACUAAAUUACAACUGACGCUUAGGCACGAAGGCGUGGGUAUCAAACAGGAUUAGAAACCCGUGUAGUCC